CCUACGGGAGGCAGCAGCGGGGAAUAUUGCACAAUGGGCGAAAGCCUGAUGCAGCGACGCCGCGUGAGGGAUGACGGCCUUCGGGUUGUAAACCUCUUUCAGCAGGGACGAAGCGCAAGUGACGGUACCUGCAGAAGAAGCACCGGCUAACUACGUGCCAGCAGCCGCGGUAAUA
rnacentral:rRNA from 1 species